GUGCUGGUUAGGGUGCAGAGAAAACGGAACAUUUAUACACUUUCGUUGGAAUGUAAAUUAGUUCAGCCACUGUGGAAAGCAGAUUGGAAAUUUCUCAAAUAACUUAGAAUU